rnacentral:rRNA from 1 species
UGCAGUGGAGCGACGAACCAGGCUUCGGCCUGGGGCAAAGCCGCGAACGGGUGAGUAACACGUGGGUAACCUGCCCUGAUGAUCGGGACAACCCGGGGAAACCCGGGCUAAUACCGAAUGUGCCCGCGAGCCACAAGGCUUGUGGGGAAAGGAAGCUUCGGCCUCCGCAUCGGGAUGGGCCCGCGGCCCAUUAGCUUGUUGGUGGGGUAACGGCCUACCAAGGCAACGAUGGGUAGCUGGUCUGAGAGGACGAUCAGCCACACUGGGACUGAGUCACGGCCCAGACUCCUACGGGAGGCAGCAGUGGGGAAUCUUGCGCAAUGCGCGAAAGCGUGACGCAGCAACGCCGCGUGGGGGAAGACGGCCUUCGGGUUGUAAACCCCUUUCAGUUGGGACGAAGCUCCGCCGGUGAAUAGCCGGUUGGAGUGACGGUACCUUCAGAAGAAGCCCCGGCUAACUACGUGCCAGCAGCCGCGGUAAUACGUAGGGGGCAAGCGUUGUCCGGAAUCAUUGGGCGUAAAGAGCGUGUAGGCGGCCCGAUAAGUCCGCCGUGAAAGUCCAGGGCUCAACCCUGGAAUGCCGGUGGAUACUGUCGGGCUAGAGUCCGGAAGGGGCGAGUGGAAUUCCUGGUGUAGCGGUGAAAUGCGCAGAUAUCNGAGGAACACCAAUGGCGAAGGCAGCUCGCUGGGACGGUACUGACGCUGAGACGCGAAAGCGUGGGGAGCAAACAGGAUUAGAUACCCUGGUAGUCCACGCUGUAAACGAUGGGCACUANUGUGGGGGGGGUGUCGACUCCCCCCGUGCCGGCGCUAACGCAUUAAGUGGCCCCGCCUGGGGAGUACNGGCNGCAAGGCUAAAACUCAAAAGNAUUGACGG